rnacentral:rRNA from 1 species
AGAGUUUGAUCAUGGCUCAGAACGAACGCUGGCGGCGUGCUUAACACAUGCAAGUCGAGUGCGCGUUUCUGUAGCAAUACAGGAAUGGCGCACGGCGCACGGGUGCGUAACACGUGGGUAAUCUGCCCUCUGAUGGGGAAUAACCCGCCGAAAGGCGGGCUAAUUCCGCAUAACAUUCCUUGGACUCCGGUUCGAGGAUUCAAAGGCGUAAGUCGUCGGAGGUGGAGCCCGCGCACGAUUAGCUAGUUGGUAGGGUAACGGCCUACCAAGGCUUUGAUCGUUAGCUGGUCUGAGAGGAUGGCCAGCCACACUGGAACUGAGACACGGUCCAGACUCCUACGGGAGGCAGCAGUGGGGAAUCUUGCACAAUGGGCGAAAGCCUGAUGCAGCGACGCCGCGUGGGGGAUGAAGCUUCUCGGAGUGUAAACCCCUUUCGACCCGGACGAAUGCCCCGCAAGGGGAGUGACGGUACGGGUAUAAGAAGCCCCGGCUAACUACGUGCCAGCAGCCGCGGUAAGACGUAGGGGGCCAGCGUUGUUCGGAAUUACUGGGUGUAAAGGGUUCGUAGGCGGUGUGGCAAGUCGGGAGUGAAAUCUCUGGGCUCAACUCAGAGGCUGCUUCCGAAACUGCUGUGCUUGAGUGUGGGAGAGGCGCGUGGAAUUGCAGGUGUAGCGGUGAAAUGCGUAGAUAUCUGCAGGAACACCCGUGGCGAAAGCGGCGCGCUGGACCACUACUGACGCUGAGGAACGAAAGCUAGGGGAGCAAACAGGAUUAGAUACCCUGGUAGUCCUAGCCCUAAACGAUCAGGACUUGGGGUGCCACCCGUUCGGGUGUCGUCCCGGAGCUAACGCGUUAAGUCCUGCACCUGGGGAGUACGGUCGCAAGACUGAAACUCAAAGGAAUUGACGGGGGCCCGCACAAGCGGUGGAACAUGUGGUUCAAU